rnacentral:rRNA from 1 species
GACGAACGCUGGCGGCGUGCCUAAUACAUGCAAGUAGAACGCUGAAGGAGGAGCUUGCUUCUCUGGAUGAGUUGCGAACGGGUGAGUAACGCGUAGGUAACCUGCCUGGUAGCGGGGGAUAACUAUUGGAAACGAUAGCUAAUACCGCAUAAUAGUAGAUGUUGCAUGACAUUUGCUUAAAAGGUGCAAUUGCAUCACUACCAGAUGGACCUGCGUUGUAUUAGCUAGUUGGUGGGGUAACGGCUCACCAAGGCGACGAUACAUAGCCGACCUGAGAGGGUGAUCGGCCACACUGGGACUGAGACACGGCCCAGACUCCUACGGGAGGCAGCAGUAGGGAAUCUUCGGCAAUAGACGGAAGUCUGACCGAGCAACGCCGCGUGAGUGAAGAAGGUUUUCGGAUCGUAAAGAUCUGUUGUAAGAGAAGAACGAGUGUGAGAGUGGAAAGUUCACACUGUGACGGUAUCUUAACAGAAAGGGACGGCUAACUACGUG